CUGUGUUACCUUGGUUUCCAGACGUGUCUGUGGGUCGAGGUGCUGCUGUUACUCCCAUAAUUCCAUUGGUGCGCCCUCCUGGUACUCUGGUGGUUAUCAUUAUCUGUGGGAGUCUGCCUUUGUUGGUGCUGGGACUCCUCCUGUUGCUUAUCUAGAAAUCAAGGAGAGACAGGAAAUCCACAUGCGAUGGGACGGUUUGCAGCCGAGUGUGAAGCGGUGG